rnacentral:lncRNA from 1 species
AUUGAACGUGAAUGGGGGUCUAUAAUUAAAGGCCCACUACCACUGGAUAGGAAGACAGGUGAUCAAGUGAUAUCUACAGUAACUGUAGCAGGUUUCACCACAAGGAUUCUGUUGCGCUUGAAACCUUAUCCUUUCUGGGUGAUGUCAAGGCUCCGCAGAGCAUACUCAGAAGAACAUCGUAAAGGUUUUGUUUUUAUUGGAUGUUUAAGUUAAAUCUGGUUACGUGCAUCUGUGGAGUCCUGUGGAGGAAGGAAAUUGGUCCAAUUCUAUUUCAAAUUCAGUCGUGGCCCCUGGAGCUGCUUUCAAAUCAACACAGAGCUGACAGUAACAUCUGGAAUAAAAGGAGUUCCUCUGUGGGCAGUGAUUGUGCUGUGCAAGUAGAAGGAAGUCACCUCACAUGUAUAUGCCUCUGCAUCAGAUCAAUGUAUGGGAAAGUAUCAUUAGUUCUCAGCAGCUGAAAUCUCAGAAAUACAGCUUUUAAAGUAAGACACCUUGCACAAAGUUUGUCUCAGUCUUCUUGAAGACCUUCUCUGUAGGAGGUGGGAUGCUGCUGUUAGGUGCUGUUUAGGUCCCUGAAGCCACCUUUUCUUCAGGCAGAGCAACCCAGUUCCCUCAGCGUGUCCUCACAAGGCCCUGGAGCCCCUGGCCAUCUUGGUUGGCAUCCACUGACCUUGCAGCAGCUGAUCUGGGACUUCAUUUACCAUGGAGCUCGCAACUGAACACAGUAUAUAGAUGUAGUGCAAUGAGUGCCAAAUAAAGGGAGAUGAAUAAUCUGUUCCCUCUGUCUGCUGGCUCUGCGAUGAUUCAUACAGGACAGGCAACUUCUGGCCUGAUCUGCUGCCAGGACACACUGCUCCUGCCCAGCUUGCUGUCUGCCAAGAUCCCUGGGUCCUUGUCAGUAGAGCUGCACCCUAGCCAGGCAGCGCCCAGACUGUAUCAUGAUUAGAGGUUCUUCCUUCCCAGCUGCAGGAUUUGGCAUAUGUUCUUUCUGAAUUGGAUGAGGUUCCUCUCACCCUGUUGCACUGAUUACUACAUAUGUAUGAUUCUGUGUAUAACUCCUACAUGUCGGAAAAAAGUUGCCCUUUAUUUAGUGAGUCCUGAAUAGAUCAGACUCAGGAGUAUUUCAAUAUAAAACAUAAAUGCUUUUACUCUGUUUUCUCACCUUGCUCCUCUUUUAUAUAUACUUGUAAAAUAAAAUAUCCGG